rnacentral:lncRNA from 1 species
AACUGCCACCUGGGAGACUGCUGGUAAAGAUGGGAGGUGGCCUUUGCCGCUUUCCAUCUUCUCACUGCAGUUUCUUCACGUGGGCCACUUGUACUUAAAAUGUCUUCUUAAUUUAUUCUUUUUACUUCCCCAGCUCCAAUUUGUCUACAGAUUUACAAAUUUGUUUUAUAGUUUUAUGACUCAAUUUGUAUUUUCGGUCCUAUGAAGCUUUUUGCCUUAAAUAUUUUUCUCUGUUUAUAAGAAUGUGCUGUUUCCUAGGCCAGUUUUGUACACACUCUUCCAUAGAAUAGAUCCAGAAGAAACACAACAAUACUGCCUUCAUCAUAUCAGGAGAUCUUGAUACCAAAUACGAGUGUUGCCUCCAAGAUGCAAGAUCCUGAGGGCUCCAAAGAAUCCACUGUCCGUCACAAAUCGACGGUCCGCCAGCUCAGUUUCAGAGACGUGGUGCUCCGCUGCAGGCCUCAUCCUCAGGUGCACCCUGGCAGUCAGCCAUCUGAAGGUACUAUGGAAAUUCAGUUACUCACUCUUGGGAGCAGAAGGAUUCCAGACCAUUCCUGUGUGCACCCUGGCAGGGAGCCAUCUGAAGGUACUGUAGAAAUUCAGUUACUCACCCUUGCAAGCAUAAGGAUUCCAGAUUCUUCAGGGUCCCAAACUUCAGAUAACUCUAAAAUUGCUACACUAUAUUCUUCUUUAUUUCAUGUGUGCCAAUUUAAAUGUACAAGUCAAUCACUAGUGCUACAAAUGCAGAAGUAAAGAUGUAUUUCCACUUCAAGUUUGGUUCACUUUUAAGAGUAAAGAACACGUCAAUGCAAGGUUUAGAUAUUAAUGCAAGGUUUAGAUAUAAUGUCUAGCUGAUUGUUAGACAUUAGCUAAAAUGGAACUCUUCCUGAGAUAGCGUUGCCACAUUUUCAAACAAAUGGACAUCAUGUGAAACUUGUAAAUUAACUUAAAAAUUGCAGUAGUACAGAAAGUUCCCAUAUACCCUCCCCCCUCAGUAUCUUUUUUGUGACCACAUCUUACAUGAAUGUGGUGCAUUUGUUAUAGUGGUUGAAGCAAUAGCGAUAUCUUCUUCUUAAUGAAAGUCUAGAGUUUGCACUAAGGCUCACCCUGUGUUGUUCAGCCUAUGGAUUUUGACAAACUCGUAAUGUCAUCCAUCACCCAGACAGAAGAGUUUCACACCCAAAACAUGACCAAUGCUGAACCUAUUAAUCCCUUUCUUCUUUUCCUAGGACCCCUGACUACUAUAGAUCAUUUAUUUUAUUGCCUCUAUGGAUUUUCUUUCCCAAAAUUCUAUAGAAUUGGAAUCAUAAAGUAUGCAGCCACUUAGGACUAACUGAUUUCGCUUAGCAACAUACAUGCAAGAUUUCAUAUCUUUUUGUAGCUUAAUGGCUUACAAAUUUUUAUCAGUGAAUCGUAUUCCAUUGGGUCCAUGUAAUGGUGUGGGUUGGUGCACUCACCGCCUGAAGAGCAUCUCAGCUGCUUCCAGUUCAGGCAAUUACGAAUACAGCUGCCCUCAUUCUUGUGCAGAUUUUGCAAUGGGUGUAAUUUUAAAAUUUAACUGGGUAAAUGUUUAGAAUUUUAAUCAGUUUUUUGUAUAAUAACACUAUGUUUUCCUUUGUAAGAAUUAGGUAGAAUUCAGUAAAAUCUACUGGGCAUUUUUUAAAAAGUUAUUGUUGAUUUAAUUUCUAUAAUACAUACAAGCCUACUCAGAUUAUCUGAGUCUCCUUUGGGUAGUUAUGGUUUCUGCCUUUGAAGGAAUUUUGCUGUCAGAUUUGUGAGCAUAGAUUUAUUCUAAGUAUUCCUUUAUUAUCUUCUUCAUAUUCAUGGGAUCAGCAGGAAUGAUUCCUCUUUUUAUUUACAUUAUUUAUAAAUUGUGUCUUCUAUCUUUUCUCUGUGGUUAGCCUGGCUGGAGGUUUAUCAAUUCUGUUUAUCUUUUCUAAGAAGCAGCUUUUGGUUUUGUUUUGUUCUCUGUUUAUUUUAUUAUUUCUAUUAUAAUGAAUAUAUUUUUUUUCUAUGUUAAUGUUGGGUUUACAUUACACAAUACUUUUUUCUCUAGUUUCCCAAGGUGGAAGGUAAGAAAACUGAAUUAAGAUUGUUUUUAGUUUUCUAGAUAGCAUUGUGAAUGGAACUGAUGUCACAGAAGUGUGCAUUUAAUAAUCAAAAUAAUACAUAUUGUGUAUUUUUCACCAAAAUAAUGAUUUAAAAUCCAGUAAUAUAGAUGGUAAGUGCAGAAGGAGCAUAUGUAGAUUCAGGAACGUUAAACAUUGUAACUUUUUUUAAAAAGAGGAUAUUUACCAGGCCUCUUUCUGUGAGGAGACCCUGUCCUGGAGUGAUGCCGUGCAUUUGUGUGCUGCCUGGGUGAACACUGCCUACUUCACAGUGAUGAGGGUGGCUUAGACAGAGACCCGAGGCUCUGUCCUCCAGGGCUCUCCUGAUGGUCUCCUUUACCUUCCUUCACCACCAAGGAGGGUGGCCCAGCAGCAGCUCAGCCUGUGCUCUCACCCACCUCCUCUGCACACACCAGUCCUCGUCCUCAGCACCCAAGGCUGCCAGAGGUCCUUCAGCAGCUCCCGUGGCUGACAGUGACUCUACGUUUCCUAGAUUUCAGGGACCACCUGGAGGGGAGCGGACCAGAGAGACUUCCUCGGAAUAGGCUGUGGCUCUUCACAAGGUGUCUUCUAUGCUUUAUUUGGGAGCCAUUGCCUUGAGCGUUAUUUCCCAGAUGGUUUUCUAAUGUCACCAACUGAAGAAAAGACCCAUGCACACAGGACACAGCAUGAUCUGAUGCUCACAGCGUUUUCCUUCCUCUCUGAAAACGGACUCAGCGAUUCUGGCAAGCGGUACUUACUCUGAGAUCACCCGUUUGCUAAGGAAAAAUCUUAGUACUGAGAAAGGUGACACUUUCCUCCCUGCUUUUGCUGGAGAGACACUUUGGUUAUGAGUUAUUUCUAGCAUAACACAGUUUAUUUCAGAAGUCCAGCUCAAUAGCAGACCAAGGCAUGAACAACACAUGAAAAUUUAUGUUGGGAAAAUAUAUAUUGUAUGUCUGCUUG